UACAGAGGUCCCAAGCGUUGUUCGGAUUUACUGGGCGUAAAGGGUGCGUAGGUGGCGGGGUAAGUCUGGUGUGAAAGCUCCGAGCUCAACUCGGAAAAGCAUUGGAAACUAUCCCGCUUGAGGGUCGGAGGGGAGAUUGGAAUUCUCGGUGUAGCAGUGAAAUGCGUAGAUAUCGAGAGGAACACCAGUGGCGAAGGCGAGUCUCUGGACGACUCCUGACACUGAGGCACGAAAGCUAGGGGAGCAAACAGG
rnacentral:rRNA from 1 species